rnacentral:rRNA from 1 species
UACGAAGGGGGCGAGCGUUGUUCGGAUUUACUGGGCGUAAAGGGCGCGCAGGCGGCUUAUCAAGUCAGGCGUGAAAGCCCCGGGCUUAACCUGGGAACUGCGUCUGGGACUGAUGGGCUAGAGUUCGGGAGAGGAGAGUGGAAUUCCCAGUGUAGAGGUGAAAUUCGUAGAUAUUGGGAAGAACACCGGUGGCGAAGGCGGCUCUCUGGACCGAGACUGACGCUGAGGCGCGAAAGCGUGGGGAGCAAACAGG